rnacentral:rRNA from 1 species
UGGUGGUGCAUGGCCGUUCUUAGUUGGUGGAGUGAUUUGUCUGGUUAAUUCCGAUAACGAACGAGACCUUAACCUGCUAAUUAGUCAUCCUCAUUUUAUGGGGCACGACUUCUUAGAGGGACUAUGUAUAUCAAGUGCAUGGAAGUUUGAGGCAAUAACAGGUCUGUGAUGCCCUUAUAUGUCCUGGGCUGCACGCGUGCUACACUGAUGCAUACAACAAGUGCCUAGCUAGACAUAGUAUGGCAAUCUGGAAUAUGCAUCGUGAUGGGGAUAGAUCUUUGCAAUUA